UGAUGCCCCUCGCGUAUCUGAAGAUUCCGGGUGGGCGAGGGAAUCGUCAAAGGGAUC
rfam:Chlorocebus sabaeus isolate 1994-021 chromosome 20, whole genome shotgun sequence.